UAGAACAAUUAUUAGAUAUGGCAGACUGUAUUUCAAGGAUUGGCUAAUCAACUGCAAUAUAGAAGGAGAAUGAGUCCACUGCAUACAAAUUCUUAGUGAAGUAGUAUGGAUCAAGUAGAGGAAGUUUUAGAGAUGUUUUCACAAAUAUAAUUUGAUCAUCAAGGGAAAAUUGAAGGUAAAAGGGACCAAGGACGUUCAAGAACUACAUUUAUCAAAGAAAUUAUUUCCUA